rnacentral:rRNA from 1 species
UACCGAGGGGGCAAGCGUUGUUCGGAAUUACUGGGCGUAAAGGGCGCGUAGGUGGCCUUCUAAGUUGAACGUGAAAUCCCUGGGCUCAACCCAGGAACUGCGUCCAAGACUGGGAGGCUUGAAUCCGGGAGAGGGAUGCGGAAUUCCAGGUGUAGCGGUGAAAUGCGUAGAUAUCUGGAGGAACACCGGUGGCGAAGGCGGGUCUCUGGGCCGAUACUGACGCUGAGGAGCGAAAGCGUGGGGAGCGAACAGG